CUUCCGAGAUGACUCCCUGCGGAUCUAGCGAUUUCCCUCUGAAAAUGGCCUUGUUUCUUGCUUUCCACAUGAACCAAAGUAGUUCAGCAACUUGCUCGAGGGGUGGUGCUUCUGGGGCAGAGCAAGAACAUAUGUUCCUUUGUUUCGGGGUUCUUUUUACAGAGCUAGCAAGUCGACUCAAGUCUAUCCAUGCGGCUGCUGUUUAAAGGGAGGUGCUAGACAAUAUCCAUCUAGCUUGGAUUCUCUUGAGUUUCAGAAAAGUUCCAUCCGAGGAUCUGCUCCUUUGUGUUCCAUGGAGGCGGAACACUCUAGUAAGCAGUUGAAGAAGGUAGUAAAACAACCACAAGCAUGCUCGACAAUGCCUUAAGACAUGUUCUUAACACUUUAAGGGAAGAGACCAACCUAGAACAAUGGAUAGCAUUUGAUACCAAUAUGAAAAUGGUGGGUGUAUUGCGCCUGUCUUAUCGUAACCAUUUUGAAGCUGUAUUGAUCAUCCCUUCAUCUUAGACAACUUACAUAAAGUCGGAUUGAAGCGUGAUUCAACAGCUGGGAAAGGGUUAGGAUUUUUGUAGUGUUGGAUAUAUGAAUUGGAUGAUUUGUGGA